GUCAGGGGUGAGGAAAUCCCUUAAACCAUUGUGAACGUUACCCUUAACCCGUUGCUUCGGCGGGCGGCGCCAUGCCGUUUCCUCGGCCCUUCCCGGGCGCCCGCCGGAGGAUACCCAACUCUUGAUAUUUUAUGGCCACUCUGAGUCUUCUGUACUGAAUAAGUCAAAACUUUCAACAACGGAUCUCUUGGUUCUGGCAUCGAUGAAGAACGCAGCGAAAUGCGAUAAGUAAUGUGAAUUGCAGAAUUCAGUGAAUCAUCGAAUCUUUGAACGCACAUUGCGCCCGCCAGUAUUCUGGCGGGCAUGCCUGUUCGAGCGUCAUUUCAACCAUCAAGCCCCCGGCUUGUGUUGGGGACCUGCGGCUGCCCGCAGGCCCUGAAAAACAGUGGCGGGCUCGCUGUCACACCGAGCGUAGUAGCAUCAUUCUCGCUCAGGGCGUGCUGCGGGUUCCGGCCGUUAAACGACCUUCAUAACCCAAGGUUGACCUCGGAUCAGGUAGGAAGACCCGCUGAACUUAAGCAUAUCAAUAAGCGGAGGAACU
rnacentral:rRNA from 1 species